rnacentral:rRNA from 1 species
ACGUGGUAUCCUGUCUGAAUAUGGGGGGACCAUCCUCCAAGGCUAAAUACUCCUGACUGACCGAUAGUGAACCAGUACCGUGAGGGAAAGGCGAAAAGAACCCCGGCGAGGGGAGUGAAAAAGAACCUGAAACCGUGUACGUACAAGCAGUGGGAGCACCCUUUGGGGUGUGACUGCGUACCUUUUGUAUAAUGGGUCAGCGACUUAUAUUCUGUAGCAAGGUUAACCGAAUAGGGGAGCCGGAGGGAAACCGAGUCUUAAUUGGGCGUUAAGUUGCAGGGUAUAGACCCGAAACCCGGUGAUCUAGCCAUGGGCAGGUUGAAGGUUGGGUAACACUAACUGGAGGACCGAACCGACUAAUGUUGAAAAAUUAGCGGAUGACCUGUGGCUGGGGGUGAAAGGCCAAUCAAACCGGGAGAUAGCUGGUUCUCCCCGAAAGCUAUUUAGGUAGCGCCUCGUGAAUUCAUCUCCGGGGGUAGAGCACUGUUUCGGCUAGGGGGCCAUCCCGGCUUACCAACCCGAUGCAAACUGCGAAUACCGGAGAAUGUUAUCACGGGAGACACACGGCGGGUGCUAACGUCCGUCGUGAAGAGGGAAACAACCCAGACCGCCAGCUAAGGUCCCAAAGUCAUGGUUAAGUGGGAAACGAUGUGGGAAGGCCCAGACAGCCAGGAUGUUGGCUUAGAAGCAGCCAUCAUUUAAAGAAAGCGUAAUAGCUCACUGGUCGAGUCGGCCUGCGCGGAAGAUGUAACGGGGCUAAACCAUGCACCGAAGCUGCGGCAGCGACGCUGAUGCGUUGUUGGGUAGGGGAGCGUUCUGUAAGCCUGUGAAGGUGGCCUGUGAGGGUUGCUGGAGGUAUCAGAAGUGCGAAUGCUGACAUAAGUAACGAUAAAGCGGGUGAAAAGCCCGCUCGCCGGAAGACCAAGGGUUCCUGUCCAACGUUAAUCGGGGCAGGGUGAGUCGACCCCUAAGGCGAGGCCGAAAGGCGUAGUCGAUGGGAAACGGGUUAAUAUUCCCGUACUUGGUGUUACUGCGAAGGGGGGACGGAGAAGGCUAUGUUGGCCGGGCGACGGUUGUCCCGGUUUAAGCGUGUAGGUGUGUGUUCCAGGUAAAUCCGGUUCACUUUAACACUGAGGCGUGAUGACGAGGCACUACGGUGCUGAAGCAACAAAUGCCCUGCUUCCAGGAAAAGCCUCUAAGCAUCAGGUAACAUCAAAUCGUACCCCAAACCGACACAGGUGGUCAGGUAGAGAAUACCAAGGCGCUUGAGAGAACUCGGGUGAAGGAACUAGGCAAAAUGGUGCCGUAACUUCGGGAGAAGGCACGCUGACACGUAGGUGAAGUGAUUUACUCAUGGAGCUGAAGUCAGUCGAAGAUACCAGCUGGCUGCAACUGUUUAUUAAAAACACAGCACUGUGCAAACACGAAAGUGGACGUAUACGGUGUGACGCCUGCCCGGUGCCGGAAGGUUAAUUGAUGGGGUCAGCGCAAGCGAAGCUCCUGAUCGAAGCCCCGGUAAACGGCGGCCGUAACUAUAACGGUCCUAAGGUAGCGAAAUUCCUUGUCGGGUAAGUUCCGACCUGCACGAAUGGCGUAAUGAUGGCCAGGCUGUCUCCACCCGAGACUCAGUGAAAUUGAACUCGCUGUGAAGAUGCAGUGUACCCGCGGCAAGACGGAAAGACCCCGUGAACCUUUACUAUAGCUUGACACUGAACAUUGAGCCUUGAUGUGUAGGAUAGGUGGGAGGCUUUGAAGUGUGG